UGGGGAAUAUUGGACAAUGGGCGCAAGCCUGAUCCAGCCAUGCCGCGUGAGUGAUGAAGGCCCUAGGGUUGUAAAGCUCUUUCACCGGUGAAGAUAAUGACGGUAACCGGAGAAGAAGCCCCGGCUAACUUCGUGCCAGCAGCCGCGGUAAUACGAAGGGGGCUAGCGUUGUUCGGAUUUACUGGGCGUAAAGCGCACGUAGGCGGACUUUUAAGUCAGGGGUGAAAUCCCGGGGCUCAACCCCGGAACUGCCUUUGAUACUGGAAGUCUUGAGUAUGGUAGAGGUGAGUGGAAUUCCGAGUGUAGAGGUGAAAUUCGUAGAUAUUCGGAGGAACACCAGUGGCGAAGGCGGCUCACUGGACCAUUACUUACGCUGAGGUGCGAAAGCGUGGGGAGCAAACAGG
rnacentral:rRNA from 1 species